UCCCAGUCACACGGCUAACACAGAACAUGGCCUUGAACUCGGAUUUUGUCUGAGUAAACUUUGUCAUCCUAUUUCUCUGCUAAAACAUAGACGGCAAUUCCAGCUGCUUACCAAAUCCCCAUAACAAAGCUCCGCCCACCUGCCUCGGUGACCGCCUUCUGCUCACAGCUCCGCCCACCCGCCUCGGUGACCGCCUUCUGCUCACAGCUCCGCCCACCCGCCUCGGUGACCGCCUUCUGCUCACAGCUCCGCCCACCCGCCUCGGUGACCGCCUUCUGCUCACAGCUCCGCCCACCCGCCUCGGUGACCGCCUUCUGCUCACAGCUCCGCCCACCCGCCUCGGUGACCGCCUUCUGCUCACAGAGCGGCACCUUCCUGACCACCAUCGCCUUCCCAUGCAGUGAAUGAAGUGCAGACAUGAAAUCCUGAUUCUGCCAUUUAGCAUUUCUCUAAAACUGACUUCUUGUAUUUGUAAAAUACCCGCCUGGUAGUCUCAGGAUUGCUGUGAGCAUCGGAUAUGAGGAGUGCAAAGGACGGCAGGCAUGGUGCGAGGCAUGUGAUGUCCGGACCUCCUAGGAUGCCCUGGAACAACACCCACUCCAAAAACUCACUCUGCAGGUGACAACAGAGAGGUCCCAAUGGUGGAGUGAUCUGCAGGCACAACAGGGCACAGCCAUGGCCAAGGUGGGAGCCAGAAAACUUUGUCCGCCCUGCCAGGCAUCCUCAGCUGCUCUGCCCUUCCCCAGCAGACCCACAACGUCCUGCCAUAUGUGCCUCACUUUACCUCCACCUCCCAUCCGGCGACAGUGCAACAUGAGCUCUGGGUUUCUCUUUUCUACCCGAGUCAGGCUGACUACCUGGUGAAGAGGAAGCUUCCCAGCUGUGUUAAUUUCCUAGGCCCACUGUAACCGAGAACCAUGAACUGGAGGCUUAAACAACAGAAAGGUUUUGUCUCUCAUUCCUGGCGGCCGGAAGUCCGGGAUAGCUCAGGUGUGGGCAGGGUGGGUUGGUUUCACCCGAGGCUGUGAGGGAGAGCCUGCUCCAUGCCGCUUGCAGCUUCUAGCGGCCCCAGGAAUUCCUUGGCUGUAGCUGCAGAGCUCCAGUCUCCACCUGCAUCUUCCCCGGCCACGUCCUCGCUGUGUGUCUUCACCUCAGCCUCCCGCUAUGCAUGUCUGCCUGUGUCCACACUGCCCCUUUUUAUAAGGACCCCAAUCACACUGGAUUAGGGCUCACCCUAACGACUUCAUUUUAACUGGACGACCUCUGUAAAAAGCCAGAUAAUGGGGACGGUGGGAAGGCAGGGACGGGGAGGGGUGCUCUGUGAGAAAAUCGGACUGUUUUCCCAGCCUUUUCAUUGUCUGUAUUUCUACUCACUCCAGUGUAAGAGUCAGCUGUUUUCUGGCCUCGUCUGGUUUGUUUUCUCUGUGCCCUUGCCCCGUCUCCUGGCCUUAGCCCCUCUCAGUGGCUCUCUCCAGGCUGCUCACCUCCUGCUUGGGCUCGUCUUGCUCCCUGGCCUGAUCAGUCAAGCAGAAUGACUCCAUCUGGAAUGGGGCCUGGAUUCUCAGGACGGCUCAGAGUUUCCUGUAACUGAAGGCCUUAGCCUUGCAGGCUCGGAAUCCAUGCAUCUUAAAUUCACGGAGCCCGCUAGUAACUCUUCCUUGGGUAAUUGGCACCUAAUAAAACUUUGUGGAACAAAUAUAGUUGUGCGACAGAGUAGCCAAUUUGCUGGCCAGCAUCAUUUCACAAAGCCCCUGACUCCGGUGAUGUGCAGCUCUCCGGGAUGCUUUGAAGACUCAGCAGGAUAGAGCACGUGGCUCCCACAUUUCUUGCCUGAGUCACCGUAUUCCAGGAAAGGUAAGUGACCCUAGUCUUUGCCUUUUCCUAGACGUGAGGUAACAUCUGGUGUGGCUCAUGAUUAUGCCUCUGUGGCCUAUAAUCAGAUGCACUCUUACAUCCAAACCUUGAUGUUUCUGCUUUACUGUGACUUCUGAACAAGUCCGAUGUGAUUUUGCAUAAACUAUGAACAAAAACACUGCUUGAAAGGCGUCUGAUCGCUCUGAAAAACUCCGCCCAGGCUGUAGUCCUCCCUCCAUAGUCCUGAGUCAGACUUCUGAAUAAAGAUAACUUUAAUUCU